AGAGUUUGAUCAUGGCUCAGGACCAACGCUGGCGGCGUGCGUAACACAUGCAAGUCGGACGCAGCAGGGGGCAACCUCUGGCUGCGUGGCGGACGGGUGAGGAACACGUGAGGAACCUGGCCGUGAGUGGGGGACAACCUGCAGAAAUGCGGGCUAAUCCCGCAUACGUCUUCUGUCGGAGGAGGCAGGAGGGAAAGCUCGAAAGAGCGCUCGCGGAGGGGCUUGCGGCCGAUUAGCUAGUUGGUGUGGUAAGAGCGCACCAAGGCGACGAUCGGUAGCUGGUCUGAGAGGACGAGCAGCCACACUGGGAUUGAGAACGGCCCAGACUCCUACGGGGGGCAGCAGUGAGGAAUCUUCGGCAAUGGGGGAAACCCUGACCGAGCGACGCCGCGUGCGGGAAGACGGCCUUCGGGUUGUAAACCGCUUUUCUGGGGGACGAGAAGCAGGACGGUACCCCAGGAAGAAGCCUCGGCUAACUACGUGCCAGCAGCCGCGGUAAUACGUAGGAGGCGAGCGUUGUCCGGAGUUACUGGGCGUAAAGGGUGCGCAGGCGGUGGUGCGCGUGGAUAGAUGAAAUCUCCUGGCUUACCUGGGAGGGUGGUAUCCAGACGGCAUCACUUGAGGGUCGGAGAGGGGCGUGGAAUUCCGGGUGGAGCGGUGAAAUGCGUAGAGAUCCGGAGGAACACCGACGGCGUAGGCAGCGCCCUGGACGACACCUGACGCUGAGGCACGAAAGCUGGGGGAGCGAACAGGAUUAGAUACCCUAGUAGUCC
rnacentral:rRNA from 1 species